CCCUGGUGGCUCAGAAGGUAAAGCGUCUGCCUGCAAUGUAGGAGACCCGGGUUCAAUUCCUGGAUCAGGAA
rnacentral:tRNA from 1 species